AGCUCCCCACGUCACCAUGCACCCACAAUCCCAAAAGCGGCCGUUGUACGCUACUCGCUCUUUCUUUUUUUUUCUUUUUUUUUCCUUUGACAAGGACAACCCCCCAGUCCCUGACCUCCUCCUGAGAGUCCGAGUCCUAGCUCAGUGUCGUUUUGUUCUCUUCUUCCCGUCUCUCUCCUCCACCUCCUCCUUUCUAGAGAGAGAAAGUCAGUUCACCUCGCCUCGUAAAUACAGAGAACGUUACGCAUUGGACGCUCUCACGAGGAACGCAUUUGUUUUCUUUUUACUUUCAGUAGAGAGGGAGGGAGAGAGAGAGAGAGAGCGUGUUAGUAAUUAGUGGUAUGGUUGCUUGGGAAGGAGGAGGUUGGGACUCUUCUUGUGCCUGAGAGAGAGAGAAGUAAAGACGAAGCAAAGAUAUUAAGCAGUAGUCUUACCUAACACCCCUCAGCAGCACUUGUUCACUCUUCUCUCCAUCCGCCGUGUUUUCUUGUAUAUACAUAUAUACGGAUUUGUAUGUAUAGAUUACUAACCUACCAGGAAUUUGAAGAGAGACAGAGAGAGAGAGAGGCUUAAAAUAUUGCUGAUGACAUGAGCGAUCACUUUCCCCGUUCAUUGCCUUUGAAUCUGUAAAUGCGGCUGAUUUUCCCAUCAAGAUUUUGCAGAAUUUGAGAGUUUUUCUUAUGAAUUCCGACCAUAAUGCCAGAAAUAGUUUUAGCUCGGGAAGAUGAUAGAGCAAAGCGAUUUGAUUUUGAGACCUCUGAAGAUGAAAAGAGAAUGACUAGGAUCAGAUCUUUGAAAAAGAAGGCUUCAAAAAUCACUCACACUCUCAGGAAACGUACUAAGCGGGUUGCUCAUUGCCGAUUUGCGUCUAUCACAACCGAAGAUUUUCGAGAUGAGAAGGAAGAGGAGGCUGUCAAUAUAUUUCGACAAACCUUGGUUGACAGGGAUCUGCUUCCAGCUUGUCAUGAUGAUUACCAUACCAUGUUGAGAUUCUUAAGAGCAAGGAAGUUUGACGUUGAUAAGACAGUCCAUAUGUGGUUAGAUAUGCUUAAUUGGAGGAAAGAGAAUGGAGUAGACACAAUUAUCAAGGACUUUGUAUAUAAUGAAUAUGAAGAUGUUCAGCGAUAUUAUCCUCAUGGUUACCAUGGUGUAGACAAACAAGGACGACCUGUCUAUAUUGAAAGACUAGGUAAAGUUGAGCCCAGUAAACUUAUGGGUGUCACCACGACUGACAGAUUCUUAAAGUAUCACAUCCAAGGGUUUGAAAGAAUCUUCGCUGAGAAGUUUCCAGCAUGUUCAAUUUCAGCCAGGAGACAUAUUGAUUCUACAACAACAAUACUGGAUGUGCAUGGACUGAACUGGAUGAGUUUUGGCAAGAUUGCACAUGAUUUAGUGAUGCGCAUACAGAAAAUAGAUGGUGACAACUACCCUGAGACAUUACACCAAAUGUUCAUUGUUAAUGCUGGUAGUGGAUUUAAAUUGCUGUGGAACACGGUGAAAAGCUUUCUUGACCCAAGGACAACUUCAAAAAUACAUGUAUUAGGCAACAAAUUCCAGAGUAGGUUGUUGGAAGUUAUAGAUGCCAGUCAAUUGCCAGAUUUUCUGGGGGGAGCCUGCUCCUGUGUGAAUGAAGGCGGUUGCCUUAGAUCUGACAAGGGACCCUGGAAUGAUCCAGAACUAAUGAAGCUGGUAUUUGCUUUACAUGCAAAUGAAGCUACUUAUCUAUGGAAAUCUACUGGCCUUUCUGAUUGUGAUGAUAUUGAAAUCAAGCCGAUUCCUAGUAAGGUUCUAAGCAGCGAAAUUGACUCUGCCAAGACUGGAUUAAAUGUUGGAUCUUCUUCUUCUCGCAUCAUACAAUCAGUGCCACCCUCUAAUAAAAAGACAACAAAGAGACUUGCUCCAGUCUGCAGCAUGGUUGAACAAGAUGGCUGUGACUCUAGAGCUGAAAAUUAUAUUCAUUCACGAAAUUCAACUAAUGGUACUGUGGAAAGAAGACUGCAUCAGAAAUCUUUUGUAGAUGUGGUGAUGGAUAUCAUGUUCAAGUUACUUGCAUGGAUAUAUAUGUUAAUUCCUGCUUUGAGUAGAUUAUUCAAGAUGAAUAAUGGGGAGAACUCAUUGGAGAACCAGCACAGACCGGAGCUGGGAAUUCAAAUGUCUCGGGGAGAACGACUUUUGCAGGUGAAAAAUGAUGACCUUGAUCCAUGCUGGCAGAGGUUGCAGCAUCUAGAAUCUGUGGUGAAUGAACUGUUGAAUAAACCUACAAAAAUUCCUCCAGAGAAGGAAGAUAUACUACUCGAGUCCAUGAAUCGCAUCAAGUCCAUAGAGUAUGACUUACAAAAGACGAAGAAAGCAUUGCUGGCAACGGCAUCAAAACAAGUCGAGCUUGCUGAAUCCCUUGAAUCGUUGAGAGAGAGCAGUAUAAGAGCAACAAGCAGUUGUUGGCUUCGGAGCAGCAAGUCUUUAUCUCGGGGAACCACCACACCGCUGACUUAGAAAAAACUUUUUUGAGUUUAAAUUUUCUUCAAUUGUGCCUCUAUCAGUUGAGACGCACAAAAUUUUUUGCUGCAAGUAUAUUGAACAAUAUCCUUUGUGGUGCAGAAACUCAGCGGAUGGCACUCUUAAGGUUGUUGGAUAAAUAAUUGGAGGACCUCGCCAACUGGUACUGAACUCUGCCUCGUUUUUCUUUGGAGGUGCGAGUCUAAUGUGACAGCUAAAUAUUCCUCUAAUCUUGUAUACAGUAUAAUACAUGCGUUAUACAUUUUGAGUUAAUAACACACUUGCAGUACAGGAAGCGGAUAAUAAAAUCCAAUAGAGAAGUGCUGGUUGCAUCUUUACAGAUUUUUGUGAAUAAUGUAUUUUGUUGGGACAAUUUUGCAGCAGCUAAUGAAAUGAAAGUGACUUGGUUAUCCC